rnacentral:rRNA from 1 species
UACGGAGGGUGCGAGCGUUGUCCGGAUUCACUGGGCGUAAAGGGUGCGCAGGCGGUUGUGGGAGUCAGGUGUGAAAGCCCGGGGCUUAACCCCGGAAUUGCGCCUGAAACUACAUGACUAGAGCAUUGGAGAGGGUAGCGGAAUUCACGGUGUAGCAGUGAAAUGCGUAGAUAUCGUGAGGAACACCAGAGGCGAAGGCGGCUACCUGGACAAUUGCUGACGCUCAGGCACGAAAGCGUGGGGAGCAAAAGGG